rnacentral:rRNA from 1 species
UACGUAGGGGGCUAGCGUUGUCCGGAAUUAUUGGGCGUAAAGCGCGUGUAGGCGGUUCGAUUAGUCUGCUGUGAAAGUCGGGGGCUCAACCCUCGAAUGCCGGUGGAUACUGUCGGACUAGAGUACGGAAGAGGCGAGUGGAAUUCCUGGUGUAGCGGUGAAAUGCGCAGAUAUCAGGAAGAACACCCGUGGCGAAGGCGCUCUCUGGAACGCAACUGACGCUGAGACGCGAAAGCCAGGGGAGCAAACGGG